rfam:Mannheimia succiniciproducens MBEL55E, complete genome.
ACCUGACACGGACCGACGGUAGCAAGUCUUGCUCCAUCAUUUGGUCGCGGUGCCAUGAC